rnacentral:lncRNA from 1 species
UUAGUUUUUGAGAAGUAUAUAAAAUUUUAAGGAAGAUCAAUGGUUUAAUCAAUAGAUAUUGAGGUUCUAAAUUGUACUAGGAUUAGGUUGAGUUGGUUAGAUUUUGGUUAGGAUUUGAUUUAGGAUUAGGGUUGAGUUAUAAUUUAGGAUUUGAUUAAGAUUUAAUUAGGAUUUAGGAUUGGACUAGAGUUUAGAAUUUAGAUUAGGAUUUGUUUAGGAUUUGAAUCAGGAUUUGUUUAGGAUUUAGGAUUUAAGAUUUAGGAUUUGUUAAGGAUUUGGAAUUUAAGGUUUGGCCUAGGAUUUUAUUGAAGUGCAUUAGGGUUUCAAGUAAGGUUAAAUUAUGACUUAAUUUAGAUUUAUUUAAGAUAUAUUUAAGAUUAUUUUAAUAUUUUUUAGCACUCUUUAAGGAGUCUUUUAAGAUUUAUUAUAGAUUUUUUUUCAACUCCUUUAAGAUUUCUUAUUGUUUCUUUUGUAAUUUCUUUAAGGUUUCUUUUGAAUUUGAUUAAAGCUCGUUUAGAAUUGUUAAGGUUUAAUUAGAGUUUAUUUAGUAUUCUAUUAGAAUUAAGAUUUUGUUAUUGAAAUUUCCAUUCUACCUUCUAUAGCCAAGUGCUCAGUGCACUCUCAAGCAACACUUUACGUAAUAUGACAAUGUGGCCCUAUAAGAUCCCAUUACUAACGUAUAUCACUAAGGCUAUACCACAAUUUUUCACCAAGGUAGAUACACUGAUGGACCUACAUACCAUAAGAUAGAAGAACCAAGCUUGACUAGAAGAAUUUAUGGCUUA